rnacentral:rRNA from 1 species
UACGAAGGGGGCUAGCGUUGUUCGGAUUUACUGGGCGUAAAGCGCGCGUAGGCGGAUCGCUAAGUCAGGGGUGAAAUCCCAAGGCUCAACCUUGGAAUUGCCUUUGAUACUGGCAAUCUGGAGUUCGGGAGAGGUGAGUGGAAUUCCGAGUGUAGAGGUGAAAUUCGUAGAUAUCCGGAGGAACACCGGUGGCGAAGGCGGCUUCCUGGACCGACACUGACGCUGAGGCGCGAAAGCUAGGGGAGCAAACGGG